UACGUAGGGUGCAAGCGUUGUCCGGAAUUAUUGGGCGUAAAGAGCUCGUAGGCGGUUUGUUGCGUCGGCUGUGAAAUCCCGAGGCUCAACCUCGGAUCUGCAGUCGAUACGAGCAAACUAGAGUGUUGCAGGGGAGACUGGAAUUCCUGGUGUAGCGGUGAAAUGCGCAGAUAUCAGGAAGAACACCCGUGGCUAAGGCGGUUCUCUAGUACGGUACUGACGCUGAGACGCGAAAGCGUGGGGAGCGAACAGG
rnacentral:rRNA from 1 species